rnacentral:rRNA from 1 species
AGCAGUGGGGAAUAUUGGACAAUGGGCGAAAGCCUGAUCCAGCCAUGCCGCGUGUGUGAAGAAGGUCUUCGGAUUGUAAAGCACUUUAAGUUGGGAGGAAGGGCAUUAACCUAAUACGUUAGUGUUUUGACGUUACCGACAGAAUAAGCACCGGCUAACUCUGUGCCAGCAGCCGCGGUAAUACAGAGGGUGCAAGCGUUAAUCGGAAUUACUGGGCGUAAAGCGCGCGUAGGUGGUUUGUUAAGUUGGAUGUGAAAUCCCCGGGCUCAACCUGGGAACUGCAUUCAAAACUGUCUGACUAGAGUAUGGUAGAGGGUGGUGGAAUUUCCUGUGUAGCGGUGAAAAUGCGUAGAUAUAGGAAGGAACACCAGUGGCAAAGGCGACCACCUGGACUAAUACUGACACUGAGG